ACGAACGCUGGCGGCGUGCUUAACACAUGCAAGUCGCACGGAAAGGCCCUGCUUUUGUGGGGUGCUCGCGUGGCGAACGGGUGAGUAACACGUGAGUAACCUGCCCUUGACUUUGGGAUAACUUCAGGAAACUGGGGCUAAUACCGGAUAGGAGCUCCUGCUGCAUGGUGGGGGUUGGAAAGUUUCGGCGGUUGGGGAUGGACUCGCGGCUUAUCAGCUUGUUGGUGGGGUAGUGGCUUACCAAGGCUUUGACGGGUAGCCGGCCUGAGAGGGUGACCGGCCACAUUGGGACUGAGAUACGGCCCAGACUCCUACGGGAGGCAGCAGUGGGGAAUAUUGCACAAUGGGCGGAAGCCUGAUGCAGCAACGCCGCGUGCGGGAUGACGGCCUUCGGGUUGUAAACCGCUUUCGCCUGUGACGAAGCGUGAGUGACGGUAAUGGGUAAAGAAGCACCGGCUAACUACGUG
rnacentral:rRNA from 1 species